AAAUUCCCUAAUCUGUGAACGAGUCCCAUUAAUAGGGAGAGAUGAGGACCUAAUGUGCAAAGGCCGAUAAACACCAGUUUAUACUUUCCUGCAGAGCCAAUUUGGAGAUUAUGCACUGCAGAGAAAAAUUCAUGAAACUAGAGGACAAUGAUGGAUAUGGAAGCAAUACGCUGUCUUCAUGUAGUUACACGUUAGUCGUGGUGACCUUGACAUUGGAGAUAUUGACGUGAUUCUUUCGUGCGACACACCGUUCCAUGAUGGUGAACAAAUGUGCCAAAUGAUUUUAAAAUUUCACAAUGAAUGACAUAGUU